AGGGCACCACCAGGAGUGGAGCCUGCGGCUUAAUUUGACUCAACACGGGGAAACUUACCCGGCCUGGACACUGGAAGGAUUGACAGAUUGAGAGCUCUUUCUUGAUUCAGUGGGUGGUGGUGCAUGGCCGUUCUUAGUUGGUGGAGCGAUUUGUCUGGUUAAUUCCGAUAACGAACGAGACUCUAGCCUAUUAAAUAGGCUCUCGGCUUUUAAACGCCGGGAGGACUUCUUAGAGGGACAGGUGGCGGUUCAGCCGCGCGAAAGAGAGCAAUAACAGGUCUGUGAUGCCCUUUGUUGUCCGGGGCCGCACGCGCGCUACACUGAAGAGAUCAGCGUGCUUUACGUUCCUGCUCCGACCGGAGUGGGGAACCCAGUGAACCUUCUUCGUGAUUGGGAUAGAAGAUUGUAAUUAUUCUUCUUGAACGAGGAAUUCCCAGUAAAUGCGAGUCAUAAGCUCGCGUUGAUUACGUCCCUGCCCUUUGUACACACCGCCCGUCGCUACUACCGAUUGAACGAUUU
rnacentral:rRNA from 1 species